rnacentral:lncRNA from 1 species
AUGCUUCUUAGUAUUUUUUUUGCAAACUAUGAAAAAUAUUACAGACGAUUUUACAGUCGACAAUUCUACAUACUUUAUGAGUAUUCACGCCUGACUGCAUCAACUGAAUCGUCCUAUAAAAUCCACGCUUGACGGUACUCAUUAGUCCUUGUGUCAUGCUGUAGAUCUCUUGUAAGUCUUUUCUCCAUUAAUUCGCAUAAUUCCACUUUUUUGGGGGAUUGAAAUUCAAAACUCAUGGUCUAUAAGCAUUAAUGAACCCUUAGUUAAACCACUCGACGAAGAGAGCUUCCACUGUAAUCUUCUCUUUACAUAACAUUUUCAUUUUCUUAUUUCAUAGUUUCAUAGUUUUUUUCUUUCAUUCACAAGUUUGAUAUUUCUUCAUCCAUAUUUUUAAGUGUAACUCAAUUUCUUAAAUUCUUAGCUCUUGCCCCCAUCA